UCUUGAUGUGUUGUGAAAGUUGGGU
rnacentral:piRNA from 1 species